rnacentral:misc_RNA from 1 species
GGAUGAAGAACGUAGCGAAAUGCGAUAAGUAAUGUGAAUUGCAGAAUUCAGUGAAUCAUCGAAUCUUUGAACGCACCUUGCGCCCUUUGGCUAUUCCGAAGGGCAUGCCUGUUUGAGUAUCAUGAACAUCUCAACUCCUCACGGUUCGCCCGUGACGAGCUUGGACUUUGGGGGUCUUGCCGGCCUGCGGGUCGGCUCCUCUCAAAUGAAUCAGCUUGCCGGUGUUUGGUGGCGUCACAGGUGUGAUAAAUAUCUACGCUUGUGGUUUUCCGCCAGGUAACCUCCAGCGAUGGGGGUUCACUGGAGCUCACGAAUGUCUCUCCUCGGUGAGGACAGCUCUUUGAACGUUUGAUCUCAAAUCAGGUAGGGCUACCCGCUGAACUUAAGCAUAUCAAUAAGCGGAGGA